CACUUCAGUAGGUGGGAUAUUGUAGUUGUAAGAAUGCUUGAUAGAGAUCUUGUAGGUGUUUGUCUCUGUCUGAGGAUUGGAGCAAAUGCGCUUAUGUUAUGGAGCUUGGCUGUAGACAAAUGGAUACGUGUGGUAUGAUCUGAGUGAAAAGCCGAGGCAUGUAGUAGGAAUAGUGGUCAGUAAAGUUUCCGUAUAUGGGUGGUGUUGAUGUGACCAGUGCUUAUUAGCAUCGUACUGUCCAAGGAGAGGAUCUCU